CAGGGAGCCCAGCCUGCCUUGGGGUGCUGCAGGGUUGCUGGCCGGGAGAUGCUUAGAUACAUUCAGAAAUAGUAAUUGUACCUUUUCCACUCAUGAACUCUGAGAAGAACUCAUCCCAGGAGAUAUAACUGGGGACGUUUGGGGUAUUGUUAUGGAAAUGGAAAAAUGAUGCAGCUGUAUCUUUAGGAUUUCGAAACAACACCAGUAUCUGGAGUGGGAGCAAGAGGUAAGACAUGAGAAGCAAAUUCAAAAUGAAGGCCACAAUAAAGUCCUCAGCUACUUUUAAAGCUUGAUCUUGUGGUCAAAGAAUCAUAAAAAAGCGAGAGACUGAAAAAGCCUGAACAAUUGUCAUUAAAAUACU